GUUGGCAUAUCAUCAUGAGGAUGUGAAUUCCACAGGAAGGCCCAUGUGAUCCUAUUGCUCCCUUAGAUCUUCCACAUUUUUUACAGUCUUUCCACCGUGUAUCAGCUUGUGACUCAAUAUGGAAGGAUACCAGUAUACCACACAUUCUGUGGAGGAUUCUGGAAUUAUUUUAGCUUGGAUUUGCAAAAGAUCAAGUUGAGGAAGUGCCUAGCAUCAGAGUCGAUGGAAGGUGAAUAAAAAUUUAGCCAUUGAGAGGAUCCAGAUAUUUCAAUACUUGACAGUGAAUAGAGAGCAGUAAACAAGAUUUAAUGGGCACUCCUUUGAUGUACCCUUUAUCAUCUUUUGAGUUCUGACAGUGUA